GUCCGGGUGGCGCAACGCAGAGUGCUGCAGGUUGUUGGCCUGCAGGCCAGGGGUUCGAGUCCCGGCCAGGGGCA